UACGGAGGAUGCGAGCGUUAUCCGGAUUUAUUGGGUUUAAAGGGUGCGUAGGCGGCUUUUUAAGUCAGCGGUGAAAUUUUGCAGCUUAACUGUAACAGUGCCGUUGAUACUGGGGAGCUAGGAUUUGGUUGCUGUGGGUGGAAUGUGUGGUGUAGCGGUGAAAUGCUUAGAUAUCACACAGAACACCGAUUGCGAAGGCAGCACACUAAGUCAUUAUUGACGCUGAGGCACGAAAGUGUGGGGAUCAAACAGGAUUAGA
rnacentral:rRNA from 1 species